rnacentral:rRNA from 1 species
AUUGAACGCUGGCGGCAGGCCUAACACAUGCAAGUCGAGCGAGUGGCGGACGGGUGAGUAAUGUAUGGGGAUCUGCCCGAUAGAGGGGGAUAACUACUGGAAACGGUGGCUAAUACCGCAUACCAUCGGAUGUACCCAUAUGGGAUGAGCUAGUAGGGGGGGUAAAGGCUCACCUAGGCGACGAUCCCUAGCUGGUCUGAGAGGAUGACCAGCCACACGUGAACUGAGACACGGCCCAGACUCCGACGGGAGGCAGCAGUGGGGAAUAUUGAACAAUGGGCGCAAGCCUGAUGCAGCCAUGCCGCGUGUAUGAAGAAGGCCUUAGGGUUGUAAAGUACUUUCAGCGGGGAGGCGUUACCCGCAGAAGAAGCACCGGCUAACUCCGUGCCAGCAGCCGCGGUAAUUC